CGGAGUCUCAGCUUUCCAGCAGGUGGAAACACACAAGGCAGACACUCCCGGGUGCAAAGGAGAAAUCAAAGAGAAUCCACGAGCACCCUUCACGGGGUGGCUCUGGCCACCCCCCCCCCAGGGGACUGUCCUUCUGCAAAGCCAGGAGAGACAGCUGUCCCCAGGGGGAGGCCUGCCUGAAUCCUGGUGCUUCACAAGGUCGGCUGCCAGCCUGUCCCCCCGGGGCGCAGGCAGACAGCGCAAGAGGCCACCUGCACGCUGGACGAACUCAGAGAGGCAGAGAACAGAGCAAUCCCACGGUUUGGAAUGAAGAGAAGAGCACGUGUGUCUGCCUGGCUGGAUCAUAAGCUGUCUGUCGUCUUCAGACGGGAGGCGAUGCUUCUAGACGUUGCCAGGGUUCUCUACUGACCCCACCUGAGGACCAACACAGUGAAGGGCGCCCUCCCUGCCCUGGGGUCCCCUCACAGUCACCCCCAGUGCCUCUCUCUACAGCACCGUUUUGCCUUGGGAAGGAGUCAGCACAGGAUCCAGGAAGGAUGGAAAGUGCUUUUUCUCUUUCUUACCCAUCGUCUCUGGCCCAGCUGCCUGAAGAGCCCCCCCACCCCGACGCCCCGUAACCUGCCUCCUCACCUUCGUGCUGUUCUCCACACAGCAGCCAGCGUGAUCCUGUGAAAUCGAUUGUCAGUGCAGCGCCCUCCUCUGCUUAAGCGCCCGUGGCCUCCAAGUGAGUUGACUUGUCCCCCAAAAAGCUACGUCCAAGUCCUCACCCCGGGUGUCUGUGAAUGUUUACUUAGUCGGAGAUGGAGCCUCGCAGAAGUAAUUUAAAGAUGUCCAGAUGCUGGCAUAUUGGAUUUAAGUUCUAAAUCAAAUGACAGGGGUCCUUAGACAAAGAGGGCACAGAGUUAGACAGACAGACAGACAGAAAAGGCCAUGUGAAGAUGGAGACUGGAGGGGUACAGCCAUAGCCAAGCAACACCUGAGGCCACACAGAAGCUGGAAGAGGCAGGAAGCGUUCUCCCCAGGAGUCUCUGGAGGGACCACAGCCUGGCCUAUCCCCUGAUCUCGGACCUCGGGCCUCCAGAACUAUGAGAGCACAUUCCUGUUUCAAGGCACCAAGUUGGUGGUACUUUGUUGCCGCAGCCCUAGGAAACCGUGCAGUCUGCUACGGCAGUUAGAAAAGAAUCGCCAGCCCUUCCGGAGACUGUCGGACCCCGUGGGCCCGGCUUCUCGCAACCUGUUUCACACACAGCCUCUCCUGGUGCCCCCAUGCUCCAGCCACACUUGCCUAAGUUUUCCUCUGACGCACCGGCCCUUUGCACAUGCUCGUCCUGCUAUCAUCACCGCAGCCUCCGUGCAGGUACCGCCUCCUCUGGAAGACCUUCCUUCACCCCCGUGGUUGAAAUAACUGUUAACUAACCCUCUACCCUGUUGCUGAGCUCAUCUCCUCACGACAGGGUCAUUCUGUCCUGUGAUGGUUCACGCGAAUGCUGUUUGCCUCCACGGGAAGGGUCGGCGGGUCAGGAACAUGCCCGGACUCCCAGUUGAUUUUUCCCGAACAAAGGCAGGUACCAUGUGUAUGCCAGGUGCUCCGCCAAAUGCCUGACAAGUGUUACCUCAUUGAACCUUCACCAAAAACAUAUUUUACCGGUGAGGACAUGGAGGCACAGACAGUUUAAGUCCCUUGCCCAAGGUCACACAGCCUGUAAGUGGUGGAGGCAAGAUUCGAACCCAGAGUCAGUGAGUUUAAACCCUCUUCUGGACACACAGGAGCCUUCAGUAAAUGUGUGCCAUAAAGAGGGUGGGCCAGCCCCUCGCAGGUAACCUCCCAGGUGGGAGGGAAAGGGAUCCAGGAAAUGUCUCCCGUGUCUACACCUCCCCCUCUGCUCCCGCCAAGGUUCAGGGGAUGGGGGGGGAGCAUCGCCGAGGAGAGUUCUAGAAGAGCUCCCGGCCCCUCCCUCCCAGGUGUGGGCUGCUUCCCGGGGUGUCCGGCUCCCACUCCCCUCUCACUGGCAUCUUACCCCCCUCUCUGCCCGCCGGGGCCCUGAGCUCCUGAGGGAAGGGGUCCCGCGUUACCCAGGGGUUCCUGCGUGGGACCCCGGGGCCCUGCGCCUCCAGCCCCGUCACUGCGCCUCCAGAGGAGCAGCCCCAACCCGGGUCUGGAGCCGCCCCACCUCCAGGGGCUGCUGGGGCUCGGUGGGGCGGGGCGGGGGGGGGCGGUCCUCGUCUCUGGG